GAAUUUGCUUGAGUGCACACGAAACAAUAGCUUGGAAUCGAGGCGGACAAUGUAAUCCAUUGGAAAACUAUACUUAUUUCCAAUGGAUUACAUUGUCCGCCCCGAUUCCAAGCUAUUGUUUCGUGUGCACUCAAGCAAAUUCGGGAAGUGUCUAUUACGUCUUGGAAACAGUGUUGGAAAUUCAGUGCUGAUCCAUUACAUAUAGAUUACCGUUUUAUAUCUUUGUAUAAAACAUUUUGAUCGCAUGUAAGGAAUUAUUUCUCAGCCCAGAGACACAGCCCAAAGACUUGACAUUAACGUCCUUGUGAUUAUAUAGAAA